rnacentral:lncRNA from 1 species
CACUUUUAUCAUUCUUAGUCAUGUCCCUUCAUAUCCUGUUAUGAUAUGCAAGUGGGGGCACAUUACCCAUUUAUUUAGUCUUAAUUUUAGCUACAAAAAUGUAAUGCUACUUAUAGAGAUAACAUUUUAUGAUAAUGAAAAUUUUGUUUUUUUAGCUCACCUGGCCUAAAAGGCCAUGUGAGCUUUUCUCAUCACUUGGCC